rnacentral:rRNA from 1 species
UACUAGCCGUUUGCGAUAUACUGAUGUGGCAAAGCGGAAAGCGUUAAGUAUUCCACCUGGGGAGUACGUUUGCAAGAAUGAAACUCAAAGGAAUUGACGGGGGCCCGCACAAGCGGAGGAACAUGUGGUUUAAUUCGAUGAUACGCGAGGAACCUUACCCGGGCUUGAAAUGCAGAGGAAUUACGAGGAAACUUGUACGCCAGCAAUGGUCUCUGUGUAGGUGCUGCAUGGUUGUCGUCAGCUCGUGCCGUGAGGUGUCGGCUUAAGUGCCAUAACGAGCGCAACCCCUAUCAUUAGUUACUAACAGGUUAUGCUGAGGACUCUAGUGAGACUGCCACCGUAAGGUGUGAGGAAGGUGGGGAUGACGUCAAAUCAGCACGGCCCUUACGUCCGGGGCGACACACGUGUUACAAUGGGGGGUACAGAGGGUUGCUACUUGGUGACAAGAUGCUAAUCUCUUAAAGCCUCUCUCAGUUCGGAUCGAAGUCUGCAACUCGACUUCGUGAAGCUGGAUUCGCUAGUAAUCGCGCGUCAGCCAUGGCGCGGUGAAUACGUUCCCGGGCCUUGUACACACCGCCCGUCAAGCCAUGGAAGCCGGGGGGACCUGAAGUACGUAACCGCAAGGAGCGUCCUAGGGUAAAACUGGU